GGUCAUUGCAUCCAUUGAUUGACCUGACGAAUGAAGACAUUGAUAUUCUGCUUAUACAAAUUGCUAUAAUUCAUGAUUGUGUGAUACUCUGUUUUGAAAUUGCACUACAUAUUCGUAUUUUACUUCAGGUUGGAAUAAACCAACUGAUACUGAACUCUUUACAUGUUUGAAUUUUCCUUCAUCUAUAGUCCUAGUAAAGUCUAUUUAUAGCAAAUGGCUUCGCCCGGACUCGAACUGGAGACCUUCAGUGUGUUAGACUGACGUGAUAACCAACUACACCACGAAACCUUUGUUACAGAUUCUAAGAACAUAAACUAAGUUACAGAAAUUAAUUAUGGUAUGGCCAAACAAAUAUGACUCGUUGCAUUACUAUUAUUCGUAUGACAUAUAUCAAAAUAUUAAAAGGGUAAUGGAGAAACUGGAGAGAUUAUGUACUAGAGAGGAGCUCUUUUGUAAUAUUCAUAUUAUUACUUCAGUUUGGAAUAACAGAUUGACACUGAAUAUUUUACAUGUAUGUCCUUCCCGUAAACGUAACACAAAAUUUAAAAUUUUAAUUUCACAAAUUAAUUAAUUAAUAUAUAAUUUUGUGAAUUAAUAUUUUUUUUUAAAAAUAAUUAGAAUGAUGAAGCCAUUUCAAAAUUUAUUAUAUAAAUUUAUCCCUAGUAAACUUAGAAAUUUUUCAGAACGAUUUGAAAUAGAGCUGAAGAAGCCAUUUCAAAACAGAGGUUUCUCAACUAGAAUUCAAGAAUCGAGAAUUACUGUAAUUUCAGUUUUAAUUUUCACCCAUUUUUCGUUUUCUUGGAUUCUCAGUGAUCACCAAGUCCAUCCUUGGUGAGUAGUUUGUUUUUUCCUUCCAUUGAUUUUUCCGGCUUUUAUAUUUCUCUUACAAUUUCCAUUGAUCUGCAUUUCUCUCAUUUUGUUCCUCGAUUGAACAAAGCAACGGUAUAUGAUUUGAAAAAGUAAGCUUGUCCCUGCCACAAAAUACUCAUUUGUAUUGACCAUAUUAUUAUAAGUCGUCAUAUACACUCUCAAUUUGUAGUUAGAAACUUACAAUUUCAUACAGAAUCUUCCUUCUCUAACAUACGUGUGCUGCCCGGGGACUCCAGUCUGGAGAAAUAAAGAACAACAAAAUAUUGUUGUUAUAUUAGUAUCUUACAGUUUUCCACCCGAUCAUCUUUCUACAGUUGCAACAGUAAGCUUGGGCUACAGUAGUUCCAAUUUCUGGCUAAGUGUAUACAUAUCUCAAGUUACGCUGCUCAUAUAUACUAACACCCUAUCAAAGAGCCCUAUUCCUCCUAAUCGAGACUGCAAAUUGUACAACAAAAGAAAAUAAGCAUAAUUGCUCUAAAUUCAUGAUACAAAAAUUAUUAUUGAAAUCAGUACCAAUUUCAUGAAAUAAUUUUUCCAAAUUAUAUUUCAAUCGUUACCAUCGGACAAUAAUCGUUGAAGCAUGCAACUUCCGUUCUGCACCCAUUAGUAUGACAGUGGAUGCUAUAAUUUGAAGGGAUCACUGUUGAAUUCCAGUGAAUAGUCUUAUCAUUGUUGAAUGAAGAAGCGUCUAACUCAAAAUUUAGAACGAAUUUUAUGGAUAUAUAUUCUAGUUUAAUAAGUCAGUAGUAUAGCUAUAUUUUAGGAUCCGGAUUUGGCUCUAGAGAUUAAAAUUUUGUUGGACUCUGAAGAACAUGUUCAACUCGAAUUGAGACUUUACAAUAUGUGUUCAAUCCAAGUAGAAUUUCUAGAGACUAAACCCUAAAAGAAUAGAAUCGCGCCGUCCCCAUAACUCUCAUAAAUUUGUCCCACAUAUUUAAUUAUUCUCAUUUGUCUAAAUCAUUAGUAAUGUUUCGUUCAUUGUUUCUCACCUAAUUAAGACUCUAAAAAUACUUCUUUUCAAUUAUUCGUGAGUUGGAAUUUUUCUAUUUUAUAUAAUUAGGUCAACGUAGAUAACUGUAGUACAAUAAUUUUUUUUAUGGCCUUCUUCCUAGUUAGGAAAGGAACAAAAUUAUUAUGUUUGUUAUUUUUUUGCUUGAAUUAUUUGAGGAUAAAUAAUUGACAUCUUAAUAGAUUAAUCACUCACAUUUCAAAUAUUGUAUUGAAUUUAUUUAUCAACAAACUCUCUAAAUAAUAAAACUUGUAAGCUAAUUUAUUUAUAUAAAUUUAUUAGUACAAAUAUAAAAUUCAAAAUUAAGAAAAUAAAUAAAAUGAUUAAAAGAAUUUGAGGGGCAUAUCUGUCUUCACAUAAAUUAAUCUCAUGAUAUUAAAUUCUAUGUAUUACUAAUACGACCAGAUGAAAUGUAUGAGUGAUACAUCCUAUAAUAUUACGUACUAAAUUUAAUAUUGUACACACUGAACGUCCCCGGUUCGAGUCCGGGCGAAGCCAUUUUUUUAAAAAUAAAAAACUUUUCCUUUAUGUGCCAAAACUGCAACUUAGUUAAGAAGUCAGGAUCUUGUUGUUGAGACUUUACUAGUGAGAAAUAGAGUUGUUGUGGUGAAGGAAAACUCUACUACGAAUUCACGCCAAACGGGACUAUAGAUGAAGGAAAAUUCAAACAUGUAAAGAGUUCAUUAUCAGUUGGUUUAUUCCAACCUUUUAGGCAGCCAUAAUCUUCAAUCAGCAAUUUUGUAUCAACAGAUUAAAAUAAAACUAAGCACCAUAUGAACGGUUAAUAUCAAACAUGUAAAAUGUGCAGUGUCAAUUGGUUUGGUCCAACCUGAAGUAAUGCUCAUAUGUAAAUGUAAUCUUAAAACAGAACAUUGCACAAUUAUGAAUUAUAGCAUUUUGUAUAAGCAGAAAAUCAGCAAUAUAUCAUCAAUAUUAUCUAUUCCAUCAGCCACUUGAUCUAUUUCUUCCUUUGUUUCAUUGGCGGCCCUCCAUCUUGAUGAUUAGGACCCUGUUCAUUACCGCCUCCAUCUUGAUCAACAUUUUGCUCAUUAGCACCUAAAUGGUGUUCAUUAAUACCCUGUUGAAUGUCCCUUCCAUCUGGAUCAUGAUUCUGUUCAUCACCGUCUCCAUCUUGAUCAUCAUUUUGCUAUUUCGUAUAGUUUAAGGGUAUUUUUUACCCUUUCUAUUUAGUCUAUGUGGCAGUGAAAUCCUAUUGGCAUGCAAUGUGGCAUCCACGUGGCAUUUAACAACUUUCGUUAAUAAGAAAGAUACAUGACGAGAAGGAUAGUUUUAAGCCGAAAUAAAGUUUAAGAAUAUAUAUGAGUUAUUUCAAAUAAUUUAGGGAUAUUUUUAAGCCAUUUCCAUUUGUAAAAAGAAAAUUAGAGCGAUUAUAAAACAGGUGAAGCUAUUUCAAAACAGAAUUAGUUGAAUUCAAGAAUCAACAACUGAUUUUUCUGUUAUAAUCGGUUAAUCCUAAUUUCUCAUGCUGAUGUUCUGCUUAUAUAACUCAUAAUUGAUUGUAUUACAUAAUCAUUAAGGAAAAUAAAAAAUCAAAAGAAUGGCUUCGCCCGGACUCGAACCGGAGACCUUCAGUGUGUUAGACUGACGUGAUAACCAACUACACCACGAAACCUUUGUUGUAGAAUUUACUUUAUCCUUAAUAUGACUUAAUUUCGACUGUUCAUCAAUCUUGUGUGAAUUUACUGCUUUAUGAUUUCAAAUCAAAGUUUGGAUAUGUAAAUUGAGAUUAUAAUUUCAAGUUUUAAAUUCUCUAGCAAGUAUGAUUUGGGAUUUCAUUUUUUUUAUAUUACAAUGUAAGCCUAUAAGAAUAUUUUAAAGGGAAAUUUUUGCAUAUAUAGUCACUCAAAAAUAGUUUAAUUACAUUUUAUAGCUAUAGUUUGUUGAUUAUGGCUCGUAGAUACAUGUUACAGGGAGGAGAGUAGAGAGCGAGAGAAAGGCAAAUUGUAUACGUACACCGUUUAGAUAACUGUAUAUAUGUAACUGAUAUACAUAUGCAUUUGCAUAUCUGGAGAGCGAGAUUGAGAGCGGGAGGAUAGACAAGCGAAAUUGGAAGAGGCGAGCAAGAGAGAGAAAUAAUUUGUAUAAUUCGCGGGUACGUUUGUUUAAUUUACCCGUGUUUUUGUAUAAUAGAGUAGUACAAAUUCUGAAACUACACAAAUAUGAUAAAACUUGAAAUAUCAUAUUAAAACAAACAUAAACAUAUGAACUUUAAAUAAUUUUUCAAUUUAUAUUAUAUAAAUUACAUUUAUACAAAAUCCAAAAACUAUACUUUUAUACAAACUUUAAAAAGUUAUACAAAAAAGAUUGAAUGUAUUUGGUGAUAAAUAUGAAAAAUCAGAGGAAAUCAUCUUCAUAUACAAAUAUAAAUGCAAAUCAAAUGAAGAAUUGUUAGUUGCGAAUUAUACAAAUGUGGUUAAUCAUACAAACUCAUCCACGUAAUUAAUAGUUAAUGUUAGUCGUGAGUGAUAAUUAUAUUAAAUUAUAGUUAUGAUGACUAAUUAAAUAGUACAAAUUUGUUUAACCGCAUAAUAUUUCCUAUUUUAUAAGUGGAACUUUUUAGGCAAAAGUUAGUUUAUGACUUUUUUAAAGUCUUUUCACCUCCUAGAUUUAUUGCAUUCUCUUCUCAUUAAUUCCCAUUUCUACAUCAACAUUCUCUCUUGUCAUUCUGUUUCUACUAAACCUUGCAUGUUUAUAAGAGAAGGAAAAUUUCUUAUGGAAUGGUAAGUUUCUGAUUAAAGUUUGCAAAUUGAGACUUGUAAGGGCUAAUACAAAUGAGUAUUUUGUGGCAGGGACAAGCUUAGUAUAUCGAAUGAAGGCGCUAAUGCUGAUCAAGAUUUAGUCGUCAAUGCUAAUGAACAAGAUUUAGGCACUAAUAAUAUGAGAUCGUAAGUUUCUAAUUACAAAUUUGCAAAUUUUGGACUUGUAGGCCGUGUUAAUUCAAAUGAGUAUUUUGUGGCAGGGACGAGCUUAUUUGCUGGAAUGAUCUUCAUCUUCUCUCUCGAGGCGAUACUGAACAGGCUCCUAAUGAUCAAGAUAAUGGAGAAAAUGCUGAUCAAGAUGGAGAUGCUAAUGAACAGCUUCCUAAUGAUCAAGAUUUAGGCGCUAACGAGCAAGAUGGAGAUGCUAAUGAACAGGAUUUAGGCGUUAAUGAGCAAAAUUCUGAUGAAGAUGGAGAUGGUAAUGAACAGGUUCCUAAUGAAGAAGAUUCAUGGACGCUACUGAUCAAGAUAAAGAAAGAAAUGAUCAAGAUGAAGGCUCACUUGAUCAAGAUGGAGAGACAACUGAUCAAGAUGCUGGAAGAACUGAUGAAGAGGCCGCUACUGAUCGAGAUUGUACUGCUCGAGACACUACUGAUGGUGAUGGAUACAAUUGAUGAAGAUGGAGAGACAACUGAUCAAGAUGGAGAUGCUAAUGAACAAGAUUCAGGCGCUAAUCCUGAACAAGAUGGAGAUAGUAAUGAACAAGACUUGGGACCGCUGCUGAUCGAGGUGAAGAAAAAACUGAUCAAGAUGAAGGCACAACUGAUCAAGACAGAGAGACAAGUGAUCAAGAUAAAGACAAGUGAUGAAGAUGGAGACACAACUGAUCAAGAUGGAGAUGCUAAUGAACAAACUUUAGGCGGUAAUGAGCAAAAUCCUGAUCAAGAUGGAUAUGGUAAUGAACAAGAUUCAGAAACGCUAAUGAUAAAGAUGAAGACAGAACUGAUCAAGACGAAGGCAGAGCUGAUUAAGAUGGAGAGACAACUGAUGAAGAUGAAGGAAGAACUGAUCAAGAGGCUAACGGUGGAGGCGGUACUGAUCAAGAAGCUACUCAUCAAGAUGGAGACAUAAGUGAUCAAUCAACUGAAUGAUGAAAUGAAGAGAUUGAUAUUCUGCUUAUACAAAAUACAAUAAUUCACAAUUGUGUGAAAUUCUGUUUUCCAUUUCUGUUUUGAGAUUGUACUAAGUAUGGUGGUAUUACUUCAGGUUGGCAUAAACCAAUUUGAGGGUACCAUUCUGUAUAUGAUACUUAGUUUGUUUGUAAUUUCUUGAUACAAAUGUUAUGCCGUGUGGUAUACCUUAGUUUGGUUUCUUGAAUGAGGAAAAUUGAUCUCCUCAUUGGAUUCAAUGGAACUUACACACAAUUUGGUUGCAAUUUUGCAUACUCUUAUUAAUAAUACUAAUGGCGUAACUUAUGCAUUAUCUUACGCAGAUUAAAAUAUGAAAUUAGAAUUCGUAUAUCAAGCAAUGUGAAGAUUCUAGCACAUAAAAGUAGGGAUAAAAUCUGUAUACACUCGAACCCCAACAAAUUAUUAUAGUCCCUUCAUUCUUAAUUAUACAAUAACAAUUAUUUCAUUAUAAUUAUAAAUGUAACAUUUCUUUUCAUUAUCAAUCUAAGGGCAACUUUCACAUAUAACAAACAAAAAUUCAUAUUUGUAUGUUAUAGUAAAGUUUGCAUAAUUGCGCUCCAUAGCAAACAUAAAAUUGUAUAAUUCGCUAUACAUAUACAAUUGUAUAAUUCGCUGGCCAAAAUUGUAUAAUUCGCUGGACUAAAUUGUAUAAUUCGCUAGCCUAUUUCGCCGCAAUUGUAUAAUUCGCUAUCCUAUUUUACUGCGAUUGUAUAAUGCACAAUUGUAUAAUUCGCUGCCUAUUUCGCUGCAAUAUUUUUAUAAAAUUUACUUUGCAUACAGUUGAAUCGAAUUAAAAUGUAUGUAUAUUGCAUAAUUAUAAGUGUAUAGCAAGAAGAUAUAUGUUUUUCUCUCGCUUUAUACAAAAACAGAAAUACAAUAUAUACACUUCUGUCGUAUAAAGCUAGAGAAAAAUUGUAUUUCACUACAAUUGUAUAAUUCGUUGGCCUUUUUCUCUGCAAUAUUUGAAGUAAAAUGUUUGUAAAUUGUAUAAUUAAGUGUAUAACACGAAGAUAUAUAUUUUUGCAUGUGUAUAUACAAUUUCCUCUCGCUUUAUACAAAACAGAAACAUAAUUAUAUACUUCUGUGUAUAAAGCGAGAGAGGCGAGCGAAAUUUCUGGGAGAGAGACGCUGGCAAAUUUUAGCUAACAUUUACUAUGGAGCACAAUUAAAUCAAACUCUAGCUAUUUCAUUUAUUUUAGGUUAUUAAUUUGUUAUUAUAUACGAUUUUCCCAACUAAUCGUAACUUUCAUAACAACACUACUCUGACUUCACUACUCAUUUUAUUUGAGAACCAUAAAAAAGUUGCAAAAUCAACUGGUACCCACUAUCCACUACUUCACAAUUCACCAUAUCAAUUACAAAAAUUCAUGUACUAACACAUGCGUAAUUUAAAGAUGCAGAGGAUGUAAGACCAAAAAAAAUAAUCGACUACUGAUAUUUCCUUAGUUUGUGGAUGAAUUUUUGAAAGCCACACUGGAGUGUCAUCUAAUUUGGAUUUCUAUGUUUCUUUAGUGUGUGUACUUCUUCUUACUUUAGUUGUUUUUUGAUAAAUGCAUUAUUACGGUAAGCUUAUAUUCUUAUUUGGGCUCAAAAUUAAUCAUCUCUACUUUUAUUGAAAGUUUGCUAAUUAUUAAUCAAAAUUCAAAAGUUAUGUUUCUUGCUUAAAAAAAAUUAAUUUGGAACAUCAAAAUACCCCCUUCAUUUGGUGUUUUCUGGAUAUAUUAUUAAAGAUUUAUUUGUAACUGUUACAUCUUUUUACUCAUUACAUACAUGUUACCAUAGAAUUUAAAUAAUUUUUAUAUAUUUAUGAAAAUGAAAAUUCACAUGGAACACACGUGUAAAACAUAUACCAAAAACUACACAAAUAAUUUAUUUAUUUUUUAACCAUUGAAAUUCACACAACAAUAGCAUUAUCAAGAUACAAAGGGGGCAAAAUUGGUAUUUUAUUCUCUAAACAAUCUUUAAGUCUGUGCAUAUGUGUAAUAAUGCAAAAAUAAAAUGUCAUCAUGACUUAUUCUUCUUAAGGAGCAAAACAAAAAAAAUAAUAGUUUUUAUUUUGUUUUUCUUCGUAAUAAAAUGUAAAAUUUGUUCAAUGCGAAGCAAUUUCAAAUUUCCCUCCUUUUUGAAUUAACGGUACAUUAGAAUCAAGAAGUGACCUAUAUAUAUAUAUAUCAACACUCUCUUCUCAUUCCCUUUCAAUAUUCGUCUCCAAUUCAAUUUUGUUGUGGAAGAAUGUCUUGCGUGCUUUGCCGUUUCUGCGGAUCUCGAGUUGCAUUCAUGGAGGAUUACAUAAGUAUUGUAUGGAUUCUCACUCUUUCUCUUCAUCUUGUUGAAUUAUUGAUGGAUUUCAAUAUUUUAGAUUCAAUGCUUAAUCAUGAAAUUGAGUACUCUGUUAUAAUUCUUUACUAAGCACAGAACGAAAUUAAGCAUGGAAUCAAGUUCAUUUUGCGGACAUUGCCAGGAGGGAUCUUUAAGAGGGUGUAAGUCUCAUGAUUUCAUGCAAUUUGAUAUUACAUAUAUAUUACAAUUUGAUAUCAUAUAUAUAUGUGUGCAGGUUUAAUGUUCUUUUACUAGACAAAGUAAAUUACAAUGGAAUUAUCAAAGUUCAAUCACUAUUUGGAACUACUGUAGCCAGUGUUAACUGUGGCCAAUGUAGAACGAAUCUCGGGUGGAAAUUUGUAAGAUACUAAUUUUUGAAGAACAUUUUGUUUUCAUGAACAAGAAAAUCUUGUUGUUUUUUUUAUUUAAAAAAAAAAUUACUUUUUCUCCAGGUUGCAGGCACCCAACAGAACAUGUUUGUUAUGGAAGGAAUAUUCCUUAUGAAAUUGUAAGUUUCUAAUUACAAAUAUGCAAAUUUGAGAAGCGGUAUGAUUUGAUACAAAUGAGUAUUUUGUGGCAGGGAUAAGCUUAGGUUAUGUAAUGUGGAAAAUGCUGAUCAAGAUGGAGAUGCUAAUGAACAGGCUCCUAAUGAUCAAGGUGGAGAUGCUAAUGAAGCGGUUCCUAAGAUAGAACUGAUGGAGAUGCUAAUGAACAGGCUCCUAAUGAUCAAGAUGGAGAUGCUAAUGAACAAGAUUUAGGGGCUAAUGAGGAAAAUGGUCAUCAAGAUGGAGAUGCUAAUGAAGCGGUUUCUAAGACAGAACUGAUGGAGAUGAAAAUAGAAUUGUUCAAAAUGGAGAUAGAACUGAUUAACAUGGAGAGACAACUGAUCAAGAUGGGGACACUACUGUUCAAGAUGGAGACAACUGAUCAAGGUGGAGACGCUACUGAUGAUCAAGAUGAAGACAUAACUGAUGAUCAAGAUGAAGACAUAACUGAUGAUCAAGAUGAAGAGACAACUGAUGAAGAUGGAGAGACAACUGAUGAAGAUGGAGAUGCUCCAUUGACCUGAUGAAUGAAGACAUUGAUAUUCUGCUUGUACAAAUUGCUAUAAUUCAUGCUUGUGUGAUACUCUGUUUUGAGAUUGCACUACAUAUUCGUAUUUUACUUCAGGUUGGAAUAAACCCAACUGAUACUGAACUCUUUACUUGAAUUUUCCUUCAUCUAUAGUCCUAGUAAAGUCUAUUUAGAUCCUGACUUCUUCUUAACUAAGUUGCAGUUUUGGCAUAUAUAGGAAAACUUUCAAAAAUAUAAAAAUUAGCAAAUGGCUUCGCCCGGACUCGAACCGGAGACCUUCAGUGUGUUAGACUGACGUGAUAACCAACU
rnacentral:lncRNA from 1 species